rnacentral:rRNA from 1 species
UUAACACAUGCAAGUCGAACGGAGAAUUUCACCAAAACUUCGGUUUUACCGAAAUUCUUAGUGGCGGACGGGUGAGUAACACGUGAGUAACCUGCCCUUGGGUGCGGAAUAAUUCUUGGAAACGGGUUGUAAUACCGCAUAAUAUAUUUCAUUCGCAUGUUUGAAAUAUCAAAGAUUUAUCGCCGAAGGAUGGACUCGCGUCUGAUUAGAUAGUUGGUGAGGUAACGGCUCACCAAGUCGACGACCAGUAGCCGGACUGAGAGGUUGAACGGCCACAUUGGGACUGAGACACGGCCCAGACUCCUACGGGAGGCAGCAGUGGGGAAUAUUGCACAAUGGGGGAAACCCUGAUGCAGCGAUGCCGCGUGGAGGAAUGAAGGUUUUCGGAUUGUAAACUCCUGUCGUUAGGGACGAUAAUGACGGUACCUAACAAGAAAGCUCCGGCUAACUACGUGCCAGCAGCCGCGGUAAUACGUAGGGAGCGAGCGUUGUCCGGAAUUACUGGGUGUAAAGGGAGCGUAGGCGGGAUAGCAAGUCAGGUGUGAAAUGCAUGGGCUCAACCCAUGAACUGCACUUGAAACUGUUGUUCUUGAGUGAGGUAGAGGUAAGCGGAAUUCCCGGCGUAGCGGUGAAAUGCGUAGAGAUCGGGAGGAACAUCGGUGGCGAAGGCGGCUUACUGGGCCUUUACUGACGCUGAGGCUCGAAAGCGUGGGGAGCAAACAGGAUUAGAUACCCUGGCAGUCCACGCCGUAAACGAUGAUUACUAGGUGUGGGGGGACUGACCCCUUUCCGUGCCGCAGUUAA